GAUGAACGCUAGCUACAGGCUUAACACAUGCAAGUCGAGGGGCAGCAUGUCGGUUGCUUGCAACCGAUGAUGGCGACCGGCGCACGGGUGAGUAACGCGUAUCCAACCUACCCUUGUCCAUCGGAUAACCCGUCGAAAGGCGGCCUAACACGAUAUGCGGUUCUCAGCAGGCAUCUAACGAGAACGAAAUGUGAAGGAGAAGGAUGGGGAUGCGUCUGAUUAGCUUGUUGGCGGGGUAACAGCCCACCAAGGCGACGAUCAGUAGCCGGUCUGAGAGGAGUGAACGGCCGACCAUUGGGACGUGAGACACGGCCCACGA
rnacentral:rRNA from 1 species